rnacentral:rRNA from 1 species
AUUGAACGCUGGCGGCAGGCUUAACCCAUGCAAGUCGAGCGAGCGGCGGACGGGUGAGUAAUGUCUGGGAAACUGCCUGAUGGAGGGGGAUAACUAUUGGCAACGGUAGCUAAUACCGCAUACCAUCGGAUGUGCCCAGAUGGGAUUAGCUAGUAGGGGGGGUAAAGGCUCACCUAGGCGAGGAUCCCUAGCUGGUCUGAGAGGAUGACCAUACACACUGGAACUGAGACAAGGUCCAGACUCCUACGGGAGGCAGCGGUGGUGAAUAUUGCACAAUGGGCGCAAGCCUGAUGCAGCCAUGCCGCGUGUAUGAAGAAGGCCUUCGGGUUGUAAAGUAAUUUCAGCAGGGAGGCGUUACCCGCAGAAGAAGCACCGGCUAACUCCGUGACAGCAGCCGCGGUAAUUA